rnacentral:snRNA from 1 species
AUACUUACCUGGCAGGGGAGAUACCAUGAUCACGAAGGUGGUUUUCCUAGGGCGAGGCUUAUCCAUUGCACUCCGGAUGUGCUGACUCCUGCGAUUUCCCCAAAUGUGGGAAACUCGACUGCAUAAUUUGUGGUAGUGGGGGACUGCGUUCGCGCUUUCCCCUG